GAAAUGCGAUAAGUAAUGUGAAUUGCAGAGUUUAGUGAAUCAUCGAAUCUUUGAACGCACAUUGCGCCCCUCGGUAUUCCGACGGGCAUGCCUGUUCGAGCGUCGUUUGCAAACCCUCAAACCGAAUUCAUGUCGGCUUGGUCUUGGGCCGUCGUCCCCCGUCGUCGCGAGAGCGAACGGAGGGGACGGGUCCCGAAGCAAGCGGCGGCCUAGGAUGCACCGCCUGAGCGUCUUCGUAACACACCUCGCUCCGGCGCGCGCCUCCCAUGGGCCGCCUUACAAAAGAACGCGACAAAAGUUCCGACCUCGGAUCAGGCAGGGAUACCCGCUGAACUUAA
rnacentral:misc_RNA from 1 species